rnacentral:rRNA from 1 species
AUGGCUCCCAACUUCGGCCGGUCCAUCUCCUUCCCUCUCACCCCGGUGAGGUCAUUCUCAAAGUCGUCCCGCCACCUCCGCUCCGUCAGCUUCCCCGGCACCACCUCCUCCCACCCGUUCCUCGCCGACCUCCACGCCCACAUCGCCGCCAUCCGCGCCUGGAUCCAGGACACGGCCGCGGCGAACUCCUCCCUACGGGCCGGCCUCGCCGCCAUACACGUGUUGCAUGCCAUGCUCGCCGACCUCCUCAUCCUCCCAGAGUCCAGGGCCGCACUUCAGUGCACCACCAGCAAGGCCGCCGACAGCCUCCUCGACGCUUUCCUCCUCCUUGCCGACGCGCACCAGGGCUUCCAAGAGUGCCUCAUGUCGCUCAGCCACGCGGUGGCCGAGUCCCGCGUUGCGCUCCGCAGGGGCGAUGCCACGAGGCUUGCGUCUGCCGCCAGGUCCCAGCACCGGGCUGAGAAGGUCCUCGCUCGCCUGGCCGCGUCCGUCUCCGCCGUCUCCUCCAAAUGCGCCCGCCUGAACCUCGUCGGUGAGGAUGCAGAGAUGGUCGGUGCGAUGGUGGAGGCAGUCAAUGUCAGUGUCGCGGCCUCUGCGGCCGUGUUCUUGGCUGUCGCGUCAAUGUCGUCGACGGCGUCCUCUUGCAAGCAGAUGGCGAUGUUUAUUCCUAAGUUCGCCACCCGGAAGGCCACCGCUCCGGAGACGGCAGAGGCGGCCAUGGAGAGACUGCAUGUGCUGGAGCGGUGCUUCGACGAGUGCGAUGAUGCCUGCAACAGGGUGUUCAGGAGCGUCGUGCAUGCUAGGGUUUCACUUCUCAACAUCAUGACGCCCACGAUCUAG